UCACUUUCCAUAAUAUUGGCCAAUCCUGACUUACAGUUAGUUUGAAUGUAUGAAUUCUCAGAUCAUUUUAAGGGACUUAGGUUAUAAGAAAAACAAUUCAAACUGGUAGUUCCUGUUCAUCAGAACCUCAGUUGACACCAUACAUUUCUAAUGAUCAUCCCAUUCUGGGAGAAUCUGUAACCCUCACAAUUUAACGUCAUUAACAGCAAUUUUCAAAUUCCAGAGGUGUCUCGGGUGAAUUCCCAGGGUCAGUGAAUGACACGUCCCCAGAGUCAUUUACUGUUAGCUUGAGAGCUAUUUGCUUGGCGUGCAAAUAAUUCCCUGGCUCCUGACUGAAGAGAGGCCAAUUCUUCUUUCUCAGGAAGGCCCUUAAAUUCUGUUUAUAAAUCUUCUUUUGUCAUAAAAUCCAGACACAGAGAGCCUCCAGUUGCACUCUGGCUGCUUCCUAAAUGAAGGAAAAUCAAGGACAGGGCGUGUGGAUAGUUCAGAUAACCGGACUCCAAGCACUGCCCACCUGGAACCACUAGAACCAGCAGUCAAUGAGAGAACGAGGAAGAAGCACUGCAGCCAGCGGUGGGACUCUGCUGCCUUUCCAACUCUUACCUCCUGAAGCCACCACCACUGCUGCUCCUCAGCUGUACCAGCUGACUUAGAACUUUACAGACUGUUUCUCCAGUGCUUACAGCUUCUGGCCACCUAGAAUGGUAAGUGAGCACAACUCUUCACACUUCCAGAGGUAGUCUUGUUCUUCCUGUUUUACACACCUCAGUCGAGGA
rnacentral:lncRNA from 1 species